UUAAGGAACUCUGCAAAUUGACACCGUAACUUCGGGAGAAGGUGUGCCGCUGGCGGUUAGUGACUUCGCGUCACGAAGCUGUUGGUGGUCGCAGUGAAAUGGCGGUUGUGACUGUUUACUAAAAACACAGGACUCUGCGAAGUCGUAAGACGACGUAUAGGGUCUGAUGCCUGCCCGGUGCUGGAAGGUUAAGGGGAUAUGUCAGCGCAAGCGAAGCAUUGAACCGAAGCCCCAGUAAACGGCGGCCGUAACGAUAACGGUCCUAAGGUAGCGAAAUCCCUUGUCGGGUAAGUUCCGACCUGCACGAGGGCAUAACAACAUCCGCACUGUCUCGACCAGGGACUCAGCGAAAUUACAUUGGGGGUGAAGAUGCCCUCUACCCGCGGAAAGACGGAAAGACCCCAUGAACCUUUACUGCAACUUGGCAGUGAUUUUCGGGUUGUUCUGCGUAGGAUAGGUGGGAGGCUUUGAAGCCGGGCUUCCGGGUUCGGCAGAGCCAACGUUGAAAUACCACCCUGAAUAAUCUGGAAAUCUAACCUGCGCCCAUGAUCUGGGCGAGGGACACUGCCUGGUGGGCAGUUUGACUGGGGCGGUCGCCUCCUAAAUUGUAACGGAGGCGUGCGACGGUUCCCUCAGGCUGAUUGGAAACCAGCCGUAGAGUGCAAACGCAUAAGGGAGCUUUACUGCGAGACUGACAAGUCGACCAGUUGCGAAAGCAGGUGUUAGUGAUCCGGUGGUACCACAUGGAAGGGCCAUCGCUCAUCGGAUAAAAGGUACUCUGGGGAUAACAGGCUGAUCGCGCCUGAGAGUUCACAUCGGCGGCGCGGUUUGGCACCUCGAUGUCGGCUCAUCGCAUCCUGGGGCUGGAGCAGGUCCCAAGGGUUUGGCUGUUCGCCAAUUAAAGCGGUACGCGAGCUGGGUUUAAAACGUCGUGAGACAGUUUGGUCCCUAUCUUCCGUGGGCGCAGGACACUUGAGAGGAGCUAUCCAUAGUACGAGAGGACCUGGAUGGACGAACCUCUGGUGCUCCGGUUGUCACGCCAGUGGCAUAGCCGGGUAGCCAUGUUCGGAACAGAUAACCGCUGAAGGCAUAUAAGCGGGAAGCUGGCCUCAAGACUAGGUGUCCCUGACGCAAGUCACUAAAGGCCCCUCGAAGACUACGAGGUUGAUAGGCUCGGUGUGGAAGCACAGCGAUGUGCGGAGCUAACGAGUACUAAUAGGCCGUGCGGCUUGACCCC
rnacentral:rRNA from 1 species